AUUGAACGCUGGCGGCAUGCCUAACACAUGCAAGUCGAACGAGUGGCGGACGGGUGAGUAAUGUCUGGGAAACUGCCCGCUAGAGGGGGAUAACUACUGGAAACGGUAGCUAAUACCGCAUACCAUCGGAUGUGCCCAGAUGGGAUUAGCUAGUUGGUGGGGUAACGGCUCACCUAGGCGACGAUCCCUAGCUGGUCUGAGAGGAUGACCAGCCACACUGGAACUGAGACACGGCCCAGACUCCUACGGGAGGCAGCAGUGGGGAAUAUUGGACAAUGGGCGAAAGCCUGAUGCAGCCAUGCCGCGUGUAUGAAGAAGGCCUUCGGGUUGUAAAGUACUUUUAGCGAGGAGGCGGUACUUGCAGAAGAAGCACCGGCUAACUCCGUGCCAGCCGCCGCGGUAAUUC
rnacentral:rRNA from 1 species